rnacentral:rRNA from 1 species
UACGUAGGGGGCAAGGCGUUGUCCGGAUUUAUUGGGCGUAAAGAGCGUGUAGGCGGCCAUGUAGGUCCGUUGUGAAAACUCGAGGCUCAACCUCGAGACGCCGAUGGAAACCAUGUGGCUAGAGUCCGGAAGAGGAGAGUGGAAUUCCUGGUGUAGCGGUGAAAUGCGCAGAUAUCAGGAAGAACACCCGUGGCUAAGGCGGCUCUCUAGUACGGUACUGACGCUGAGACGCGAAAGCGUGGGGAGCGAACAGG